rnacentral:rRNA from 1 species
GUUGGCUUAGAAGCAGCCACCCUUGAAAGAGUGCGUAAUAGCUCACUGGUCAAGUGAUUCCGCGCCGACAAUGUAACGGGGCUCAAGCACGCCACCGAAGUUGUGGCAUUGACAUUUUUGGUAGGCCUUCGUGGUCCAGCCGUGUUGAUGGGUAGGAGAGCGUCGUGUGGCGAGUGAAGCGGCGGUGUGAACCAGCCGUGGACGCUACACGAGUGAGAAUGCAGGCAUGAGUAGCGAAAGACGUGUGAGAAACACGUCCUCCGGAAGACCAAGGGUUCCAGGGUCAAGCUAAUCUUCCCUGGGUAAGUCGGGACCUAAGGCGAGGCCGACAGGCGUAGUCGAUGGACAACGGGUUGAUAUUCCCGUACCGGCGAAGAACCGCCCAAGCUAAUCCAGUAAUGCUAAGUGUCCAAAGCCAGUCAUCGUCACCUUCGGGUGGCACCGGCUGGUGGAGCACACGACCCUAUGCUGGUGCGGCUAGCGUAUUAACAGGUGUGACGCAGGAAGGUAGCCCAAGCCAGGCGAUGGUUGUCCUGGUGCAAGUGCGUAGGCCGAGUCAUAGGCAAAUCCGUGACUCAUGAUGGCUGAGACACGAUGCGGAUAAAAAGUGGGUGAUCCUAUGCUGCCGAGAAAAGCAUCGACGCGAGGUUCAAGCCGCCCGUACCCCAAACCGACUCAGGUGGUCAGGUAGAGAAUACCAAGGAGAUCGAGAGAAUCGUGGUUAAGGAACUCGGCAAAAUGCCCCCGUAACUUCGGGAGAAGGGGGGCCAUCCACUUAUACCCACUUGCUGGGGAAAGGGUGUGGUGGCCGCAGAGACUAGUGGGUAGCGACUGUUUACUAAAAACACAGGUCCGUGCGAAGACGCAAGUCGAUGUAUACGGACUGACGCCUGCCCGGUGCUGGAAGGUUAAGAGGACCGGUUAGCCGCAAGGCGAAGCUGAGAAUUUAAGCCCCAGUAAACGGCGGUGGUAACUAUAACCAUCCUAAGGUAGCGAAAUUCCUUGUCGGGUAAGUUCCGACCUGCACGAAUGGCGUAACGACUUCCCAACUGUCUCAACCGCGAACUCGGCGAAAUUGCAUUACGAGUAAAGAUGCUCGUUACGCGCAGCAGGACGGAAAGACCCCGUGACCUUUACUACAGCUUGGUAUUGGUGUUCGGUGUGGCUUGUGUAGGAUAGGUGGGAGACUAUGAAACCAUGACGCCAGUUAUGGUGGAGUCAUUGUUGAAAUACCACUCUGGUCAUAUUGGAUAUCUAACUUCGAACCGUGAUCCGGUUCAGGGACAGUGCCUGGUGGGUAGUUUAACUGGGGCGGUUGCCUCCCAAAAAGUAACGGAGGCGCCCAAAGGUUCCCUCAACCUGGUUGGCAAUCAGGUGGCGAGUGUAAGUGCACAAGGGAGCUUGACUGUGAGACUGACAGGUCGAGCAGGGACGAAAGUCGGGACUAGUGAUCCGGCAGUGGCUUGUGGAAGCGCUGUCGCUCAACGGAUAAAAGGUACCUCGGGGAUAACAGGCUGAUCUUGCCCAAGAGUCCAUAUCGACGGCAUGGUUUGGCACCUCGAUGUCGGCUCGUCGCAUCCUGGGGCUGGAGUAGGUCCCAAGGGUUGGGCUGUUCGCCCAUUAAAGCGGUACGCGAGCUGGGUUUAGAACGUCGUGAGACAGUUCGGUCCCUAUCCGCUGCGCGCGUAGGAAGUUUGAGAGGAUCUGACCCUAGUACGAGAGGACCGGGUUGGACGAACCUCUGGUGUGCCAGUUGUUCCGCCAGGAGCACCGCUGGUUAGCUACGUUCGGGAUGGAUAACCGCUGAAAGCAUCUAAGCGGGAAGCCGGCCUCAAGAUGAGACUUCCAUCACCUUCGGGUGGAGAGGCUCCCAGCCAGACUACUGGGUUGAUAGGCCAGAUGUGGAAGCACGGCAACGUGUGCAGCUGACUGGUACUAAUAAGCCGAUGACUUGAUAAC